AAGAGAGAGACAUGCGCGCAUAUCAAUAAGCGGAGGAAAAGAAACUAACAAGGAUUCCCCUAGUAACGGCGAGUGAAGCGGGAAGAGCUCAAAUUUGAAAUCUUAAAGGGUUUCCCUUUACGAAUUGUAGUUUAAAGAAGUGUUUUCUGUUGAGGUUUUGGUAAAAGUUCUUUGGAAUAGGACAUCAUAGAGGGUGAGAAUCCCGUAUUUGACCUUUACUUUCAACUUUGUGAUACACUUUCAAAGAGUCGGAUUGUUUGGGAAUGCAGUCCAAAAUGGGUGGUAAAUUUCAUCUAAAGCUAAAUAUUGGCGAGAGACCGAUAGCGAACAAGUACCGUGAGGGAAAGAUGAAAAGAACUUUGAAAAGAGAGUUAAACAGUACGUGAAAUUGUCAAAAGGGAAGCGUUUGACACCAGUGUUGUUUUUCUGAAAAUCAAUUAAAGAACUGUUUAUGCUAAGUUGUUUAGACUUUAUCAGCUAACUGUUUAGUUUUGAGCUUUUCUUUAAUGCACUUUUCAGUUAACAAGUCAACAUCAAUUUCUUUUGCUGUAAAAAAGCUUGAGGAAGGUGGCUUGAGAUUCGUCUUAAGUGUUUAUAGCCUCUUGCCUAUGCAGUCGGAGAGAUUGAGGUCUGCAGCGUAGAUCCUUCGGGGCUAAAUGCAUUCGUGCUAAGUUAUAGCAUUUUAUAGACAACUUGUUGACUAUGAUUUGUCUUGUAGCUUACUCGCUUAUGUUAUUUUACCUACGCUUAGGAUGUUGAGCGCAUGUCUCUCUCU
rnacentral:rRNA from 1 species